rnacentral:rRNA from 1 species
UUGAACGCUGGCGGCAGGCCUAACCCCUGCAAGUCGAACGGUAACAGGAAGCAGCUUGCUGCUUUGCUGACGAGUGGCGGACGGGUGAGUAAUGUCUGGGAAACUGCCUGAUGGAGGGGGAUAACUACUGGAAACGGUAGCUAAUACCGCAUAACGUCGCAAGACCAAAGAGGGGGACCUUCGGGCCUCUUGCCAUCGGAUGUGCCCAGAUGGGAUUAGCUAGUAGGUGGGGUAACGGCUCACCUAGGCGACGAUCCCUAGCUGGUCUGAGAGGAUGACCAGCCACACUGGAACUGAGACACGGUCCAGACUCCUACGGGAGGCAGCAGUGGGGAAUAUUGCACAAUGGGCGCAAGCCUGAUGCAGCCAUGCCGCGUGUAUGAAGAAGGCCUUCGGGUUGUAAAGUACUUUCAGCGGGGAGGAAGGGAGUAAAGUUAAUACCUUUGCUCAUUGACGUUACCCGCAGAAGAAGCACCGGCUAACUCCGUG